rnacentral:rRNA from 1 species
GACGAACGCUGGCGGCGUGCUUAACACAUGCAAGUCGAACGCUGAAGCUCAGCUUUUGUUGGGUGGAUGAGUGGCGAACGGGUGAGUAACACGUGAGUAACCUGCCCCCUUCGUUGGGAUAACGCCCGGAAACGGGUGCUAAUACUGGAUAUUCACUGGUCUUCACAUGGGGGUUGGUGGAAAGGGUUUUUCUGGUGGGGGAUGGGCUCGCGGCCUAUCAGCUUGUUGGUGGGGUGAUGGCCUACCAAGGCUUUGACGGGUAGCCGGCCUGAGAGGGUGACCGGUCACAUUGGGACUGAGAUACGGCCCAGACUCCUACGGGAGGCAGCAGUGGGGAAUAUUGCACAAUGGGCGCAAGCCUGAUGCAGCGACGCCGCGUGAGGGAUGGAGGCCUUCGGGUUGUGAACCUCUUUCGCUCAUGGUCAAGCCGCAACAAUGGUUGUGGUGAGGGUAGUGGGUAAAGAAGCGCCGGCUAACUACGUG